CCCAACGGCCGGCCCCGCGCGGCGCUGAGGGAACCGGCGGCGGCACCCCCGCUUGGGUAACCCCCCCACCGCCCUGCCGGGAUUCGGGCGCUGCCCGUUCCGUCAGCUAGGGCCUCUGCGGCCGCCCUGCAGGGAUAUUAGACCUCCCCAGCCUCCCACCGGAGGCCCCACAGAGCUCCCUCGCCGGUAGCGCGGGAGGAAAGUGGUGUUGGCCCGCAGCCGGGGGGUACCGGCUGUGAAGGAGCUUUCCACCCGGCACGGAGAGGCAGAACGGGGUAACAGCACAGCAAUGUGUGUGGUACCUGGGCAGGAAAACGAGCAGGGGGUUAUUAAGUGAUUGUACACAUUCCGGCGGUGCCCCAGAUGGCCAAAUUGCUAGUUACUGAGAGCCUCUAAUUACAAAAGUACAGAGCGAGGGACGUAAAGAGGGCAAUGAUUGGCAAGCCAUGUGUAGACGUGGUGCACAAUGCUUUUUUGUGCAGUAUAAAGAAAAAAAUAGGUUUAGGAGAUUUGGUAGGCAACAGAGAGUAAACAGAAAUAGAAGAUGUAAAAGUAAUAAGGAUAUUGGGUAAUGCCAGUAACAAGCAAGAUUAGCUAGGGAUGUAAUGAAAGCUCGGCUUGGGCAGAAUUACUGAAGUUUUUACGGCUGUUGAUGUAACUGACAUUUCAGACAAAAUAUACCCAGAGAAGUAGCAUUUUCAAUGAAAUCAAAUGACAUGAAAACCGUACUGUUUCACCACUUGGCAUUGAACAGGAUAAACUAUGUUUAGAUCUGUGCAAGCACAGAACAAGAAGCGACAAGACAUGCUGAGGACCAAACAGAAUUACAGACCGUGCAGGAGCUGGGAAUUUCCUGGCUGAAGAAGCUCUAACAACACUUUCCAAUACAUGGACCAGCCAGAAAAACUGAGAAAAGUACCCAAGUACUGGUGGUGCUGGAGCUGUGCUCUUCAAUUUCGCACUGUAACAGGAGCAGUGAUUUAACUCCAGUCUUGCCACACAGGCAGGUUUCAUUCCAACCAGCCUCAAUUCGCAGGCUCUCAGGACACCGAGUGGACUGUGGGCAGGUACCUGCCCUUUGGUGAUCGAUGGCUGCACCUUCUCAAGGGCUCAAGGGGCCCACCGCUCAUUCGUGCUAUUUCAGCCCCUGGCUUACCCCUCACACCACACCCCAGGUCAGGCCAACACAACCCAGACCCAUCUAAUUGCACGCUAACUGGAAUUCUAUGUUUUCCAACCUGUCAAAUGUACAACUUGGUGUGUAUUCUUAGCAUUCAUGCAGAGCAAGUUUAUGGUUUGUGAAGGACCAUGACAGCCAUUUAGUUUUUGUAUAGAAGGCACCUUGACUGGUCCCCAACUGGAAAACCAAAAACCCUCAGCCAACGUUUAUGAUUGUGCCCUUGGUGUUUCCAUCACAGAAAUGUGAUCAGAUUCACGGCGCAAAGAUCAAAUUUUUCGAACUGCAUACAUCUACUACAUACAGAUGCCAAUGACUAUAUGAGGCAGGAGUCUGGGCUGAAUCAAAUCCUCUGCUGUCUGAUUUAUCACCACCUCCUGUGUUUAUACAUAACUCUGGAAAUUUAGACGAACUCCAAGAUACUUAGAGAGUCAGAGAAAAUACAUACAGAUAUGCAUACGGAUACUUUUCUAUGUCUACAGAUCUUGACAAAGAUUGUCACACCUUUGUCUCUAGUGUGGUCCUUCUCAAAAAUCUGGAAAGGGAUGACUUCAGUUCUCAAAGAUAAACAAAGUUCAUUACAGCUACUAAAUCAUUACUGGCACAAUGAAGUAGAUACAAACCACCUAAGAGAAGCACAAGAAGCAUUAGAUUCAUCUAUUCUACAUGACCGCCAUCUAUACCUGGAAAAGCAGACUAUUUGAAAGCUUACUGCUGUGUCUUUCUGUUAUUCACCUAGCUUGUUUAACACUCAUGUUUGCACAGCGCUAAGAGCUGUGCAAGGGAACAGUACCCAAGCACUCACCAGGAGACUGGCUGUGGCUCACAAAGGCCACCAGAACAAUCCAUCCCUCCUGCAAGUGGCUCAGAGCAAUUCCUUUUCCUCCAAAUAAUCCAGCGAACACAAGGACUCCUAAGAACUUAUGAAUCUAUACGCAUAGAAAUCAAACUUACUGCCUCUGUACAGGGACUGCAAGAAACAAUGUGAAUCAUCAGCAAGAAAAGGUGGGCCCUACUGAUAUAAAGGAUGUUUUCAUAGCCUUAAGUAGCGAAGGUAUCGUUCAGUAAUAGGCUAGAGGUGGGGAAAAGACUCUUGGAGACAAAAGUGAAACAAUACUUUGGUAUUAAGUUUGCCAAAUAUAAAUGAACACAGAUGUUUGACAAAGGAUAGUAUCAUAAAAAUGCACAAAUGGGAAUUAUUUAUAUAAACUGACAUCAAAUAAGUCAUGGGAAAAUUGCUAUAAUGAAAAGGAAGGUCUUUGUUUUGAAAUAAGACCUCCCUGAGUUAAGGGUUUCAUCUCUUAUAACCCAGAAUUGCCUUUACUCGUCCAUUGUUUUUGCAGAAACCCAACUGCUGAAUAUUAAUUUCUCUGUAAUAGCAGACUAAGUAUGACCAGAUUUCAACAGUGAAAGACCUAAAGGAAUAAUUAACGAACAAUGGGUUCUUAUAUUACAAGGAAACAAUUACCCACAUUAUCACUGGAUUUGCAGAAUUUUCUGACAAACCAGAGCUCUUUGCUUGAGCAGGGAGGCACAAAGCGCAUGAUACAAUCAGUUUUCCCAGUUCUACAGUUACUGAAGUUGGCACUGCAGUGACUUGGUGGGUUCUCUAACUCGUGUGGGUAAGGGGCAUCCACCAGAGAAGAAGAGAUGGAUUACAGCAUGCUUCAGCAACACUUUCUCUUGUCCCUUUCAGGUAUCAAGGAAGACACAACAGAAAUGGAAUCUGCAGCUGCUAAUACGUCCUCCGUAUAAAUGCUUGAUGGAACUAUUUGUCCUAAUCUGGUAUAAAGCCACCACAACAAAUAAGAAAGUGCAGGCUGGAGGAGAGAAACUGAAUCCUUACAGAAUCAAUGCAUUCGUGUGCAGGUUUCUUACAAAGCCAGGUAUUUUUUCCCUUGAAUAAAUUCAAGUGUUUAAAGCAGGUUUCAUCUGAGUAAUAUUCCAGCCACCACAAACACUGGAAGAAAGGCAUUCUUUAAACUACCUGAAAAAGUGUAGCAACGAUUCAGUUAUGCUUAUCCAUUCAUUUUAUAAAAACAACAUGUUGAAAACAUCAUUUAAAGAACUUCUAUUAUUCUUAUUAUAUAUUAGAAUUAGAAAGUUAAUGAAAUAGAAA